UUAAAAAGAACGGUAACAGUUCUCGGUGUUAUUCUAGGUCCUAUGCGCGUGGAGAAAACUUCCGUUUGGAGAACGACGAUGGAUGGGAUUGGCCAGAUCCCACCCCCACGGAAAUUCUACCAGAGGCCUUCCUCGGUGGCCGUUCUAGAGGAAAAAAGGAAAUCGGAUCAUGGAUGAUAUGGAGGAUUAAAUUUGUCUAGCAAAUCAGCCUCUCCGGAUCCCGCUCAUCUACGACAUCAACUGAGUACCCAACUGUAGGCCAGAUAUCAAAUUUUUGCCAGAAGUCGAUACCCAGGAUGCAUUUCCGGUUGAGAUCCGGCGCCAAAACAAUCGGUGUACGCGAAGAGCACGUUCGCUAAGCUGCCUAUUUUGCAUCGGGUUUAUGUUGCGUAUGUUGAGCUCGUACUCCAACUCAUCUAUCGUGAGAUGGGCACAGUUCAUCCCAUAAUAAGAUAGGCGCAAAUGAGCCAUCUCCAUUUCAAAAGGGAGGGAACUGACCACUAUCGGGACAAAUGGACGCUAAUUCAACAGCACCCCAAAUACACGGAAUGAUAGAAAAAUAAAUUUAACCGUAAGUUCUAGAAAUUUUUAGAGAAAACAGUAAUUAAAUUAUUCAACUAUCGAAAAUGUUGAAAUCUAAGCUAAUUAUGGCACAAAUACAGUAAACGAAUGAAUGACUAAAUAAAUUAAAUUAAAUUAAAUAAAUUAACAUAUAAUACAAAUUAAAAUCGUGAGUCGUGAGUUAUUAAACUAUAGAAAUUUUGAAAUUUAAGCUAAUUAUGGCACAAAUACAGUAAACGAAUGAAUAAAUAAAUAAAUUAAAUUAAAUAAAUUAACAUAUAAUACAAAUUAAAAUCGUGAGUCGAGAAUCUAUAAAUAAGGACAGCAAUGGUAGCGCAAAUUCAAAUAAGUUUAACUAAAAGAUGCGCACAGUUAUGACUCACACUG